rnacentral:rRNA from 1 species
GCGGCAGGCCUAACACAUGCAAGUCGAGGGGUAACAGGGAAGAGCUUGCUCUUUCGCUGACGACCGGCGCACGGGUGCGUAACGCGUAUACAACCUACCUUUUGGAGGGGAAUAGCCCAGGGAAACUUGGAUUAAUGCCCCAUAGUAUGGGAAUAUCUCCUGAUAUUUUCAUUAAACAUUUAUGGCCAUUAGAUGGGUAUGCGUCCUAUUAGUUAGUUGGUAAGGUAACGGCUUACCAAGGCAGCGAUAGGUAGGGGUCCUGAGAGGGAGAUCCCCCACACUGGUACUGAGACACGGACCAGACUCCUACGGGAGGCAGCAGUGAGGAAUAUUGGACAAUGGGCGAGAGCCUGAUCCAGCCAUGCCGUGUGCAGGAAGACUGCCCUAUGGGUUGUAAACUGCUUUUACAGAGGAAGAACCACUCCCACGUGUGGGAGUUUGACGGUACUCUGCGAAUAAGGAUCGGCUAACUCCGUGCCAGCAGCCGCGGUAAUACGGAGGAUCCAAGCGUUAUCCGGAAUCAUUGGGUUUAAAGGGUCCGUAGGCGGGCAGUUAAGUCAGUGGUGAAAGUCUUCCGCUCAACGGGAGAACUGCCAUUGAUACUGAUUGUCUUGAGUUAUUAUGAAGUGGUUAGAAUGAGUAGUGUAGCGGUGAAAUGCAUAGAUAUUACUCAGAAUACCGAUUGCGAAGGCAGAUCACUAAUAAUAUACUGACGCUGAUGGACGAAAGCGUAGGUAGCGAACAGGAUUAGAUACCCUGGUAGUCUACGCCGUAAACGAUGGUUACUAGCUGUUCGGCCCGAUUAAGGGCUGAGUGGUUAAGCGAAAGUGAUAAGUAACCCACCUGGGGAGUACGUUCGCAAGAAUGAAACUCAA